rnacentral:rRNA from 1 species
AAACCAGCACCUCAAGUGGUCAGGAUGAUUAUUGGGCCUAAAGCAUCCGUAGCCUGCUCUGUAAGUUUUCGGUUAAAUCUGUACGCUCAACGUACAGGCUGUCGGGAAUACUGCAGAGCUAGGGAGUGGGAGAGGUAGACGGUACUCGGGAGGAAGUGGUAAAAUGCUUUGAUCUCUCGAUGACCACCUGUGGCGAAGGCGGUCUAUCAGAACACGUCCGACGGUGAGGGAUGAAAGCUGGGGGAGCAAACCGGAUUAGAAACCCGGGUAGUCC